GCCAGGUGUAGUGGUGUGCACCUAUAGUCCCAGCUACUCAGGAGGCUGAGGUAGGAGGAUCACUUGAGCCCAGGAGUUCGAGGCUGCAGUGAGCCAUGAACAUGCCACUAUACUCCAGCCUGGGUGACAGAGUGAGACCCUGUCUCAA
rnacentral:sRNA from 1 species